CACCUCUAGCAUUUCCAGUAUUAGAGGCACUGCCUGCCCAGUGACAUCUGUUUAAACGGCCGCGGUAUCCUAACCGUGCAAAGGUAGCAUAAUCACUUGUUCCCUAAAUAGGGACUUGUAUGAAUGGCCACACGAGGGUUUUACUGUCUCUUACUUCCAAUCAGUGAAAUUGACCUUCCCGUGAAGAGGCGGGAAUGACUAAAUAAGGCGAGAAGACCCUAUGGAGCUUUAAUUAACUGAUUCACAAAAAACAACACACAAACCUAACCUUCAGGGACAACAAAACUUUUGAUUGAAUCAGCAAUUUCGGUUGGGGUGACCUCGGAGAACAAAACAACCUCCGAGUGAUUUAAAUCCAGACUAACCAGUCAAAACAUAUAAUCACUUAUUGAUCCAAACCAUUGAUCAACGGAACAAGUUACCCUAGGGAUAACAGCGCAAUCCUAUUCCAGAGUCCAUAUCGACAAUUAGGGUUUACGACCUCGAUGUUGGAUCAAGACAUCCUAAUGGUGCAGCCGCUAUUAAGGGUUCGUUUGUUCAACGAUUAAAGUCUU
rnacentral:rRNA from 1 species